GAAUUCAGUGAGUUUGAGAGCCAGGGUAGGAGAAAGAGAGAGAGAGAGCGCGCACACAUUUCUCAGCCAUUUACAAAGAGAACAAAUUUAGUGACAGACGGUUGAUACUCCUCAGAUGCGGAAGGAUUUUAAUGUACAACAAUGCAUCUCAAGCAACCAGAUAUGGAACAGUUUUGCCAGGUGUUUUUCUCCCCUGAGCUGUAUUAGACUGGUUGAGCUAGGACUUUUAAUCAAAAGAAGUCAUUUUAACUCACCUCUCAUCCUCAAAAAUAAUGCUGUUGCAUUAAAUAUUAUUUUCAUAAAAUAUUUCUGCUUGGUUAUUUAUUUACAGUAUUUAUUUAUAUUAUGCCCCUCUCGCCCCACAGGGGAUUCAGGGUGGAUUACAAUGCACAUAUACAUGGCAAACAUUCAGUGCCAUUAGACAUACAACAUAUAUAGACAGACACAGAGGCAAUUUAACAUUCCAGCUUUCAGGCUUCAUGAGGGUAUGCUU